UGGCAUGUCUCAGAAAUCACAGAUCAGCUCGGGGCCCCAGUGUGCAACAGCUGCAAAUGGCAACCUCCUCCAUGGUGUAUACAGCCUGCUGCUUGUAUGGCAGCCUUCAGGGACCUUGGGGACGGUC
ensembl:snoRNA SNORA70 Small nucleolar RNA SNORA70